AGGUGCAUCAAUCAAAAUUCAAACUUGAUUGGUAUACAUGGAGUCCAUUUCAGAUUUUAUAGCAUUGAGCCAUUUGUCAAAGUCACUACUCAUGACAGCUUUUGAAUAGGUCAUAGGAUCAUCAUUUUCAAUAAUGUGGGAUGUGUUGUCAUUCUCAAUGAUAAAUCUAUACCUGAGUGGUACAUUACGCACUCUACUUGACCUUCGAAAGGAG
rnacentral:lncRNA from 1 species